CAACUCUGGUGAAUGCUGUUGCUGAGUGCCCUUCAGUGGAAAGGCAGGUUUCUAUGAACAUUAUGGACUUGGAGACAGUAAGGGCAGUGUAACACCCAUGAAAGAAGAUUUCCAGAAAUGCCUCAGAAAGUGUGCCGGUGUGCAACAGGGGAAAGGACACCGAAGAGUAGCUGCAGCUUGCAUGCAGGGCCUCACACAUGCUAAGAUGAGAUGUGAGCUGCAUUAAAACUGAAGAACUUCAGAAAAAUCACAAUAUACCACGCCAUACAGGAAAUCUUCCAGAGGAACUGGCUGGGAAAGAGA